AUUCCAGCUCCAAUAGCGUAGAUUAAAGUUGUUGCAGUUAAAAAGCUCGUAGUCGGAACUUCUGGUGCCAGCAGCCGCGGUGAGCGUCCAAGGGCCUUCGGCCUUCGCGCAUGCGAUCCGCUAGCCAUGUACUUCGGAGGAACGCGUGUGCUUUUCACUAAGUGCGCGUGGGAUUCCGAUUGUUUACUUUGAGAAAACUAGAGUGUUCAAAGCAGGUGUUUUGCUAGCAUGGGAUAAUGAAAUAGGACAUUGGUUCUAUUUUGAUGGUUUACGGACCGAUGUAAUGAUUAAUAGGGACAGUUGGGGACAUUCAUAUUGCAUGGCUAGAGGUGAAAUUCUUGGAUUCAUGCAAGAUGAACUACUGCGAAAGCAUUUGUCAAAGAUGUUUUCAUUA
rnacentral:rRNA from 1 species